rnacentral:rRNA from 1 species
UACGGGGGGGGCAAGCGUUGUUCGGAAUUACUGGGCGUAAAGGGCGCGUAGGCGGCCCGCUAAGUCGAACGUGAAAUCCCCAGGCUCAACCUGGGAACUGCGUCCGAUACUGGCAGGCUUGAAUCCGGGAGAGGGAUGUGGAAUUCCAGGUGUAGCGGUGAAAUGCGUAGAUAUCUGGAGGAACACCGGUGGCGAAGGCGGCAUCCUGGACCGGUAUUGACGCUGAGGCGCGAAAGCCAGGGGAGCAAACGGG